GUCUCCAUAGCUCAGUGGUUUAGAGCGGCCGCCUGCAGUACAAUGACUCAUAGCGGCAGGUCACGUGUUCAAAUCACGUUGGGGACU
rnacentral:tRNA from 1 species